GACGAACGCUGGAUGCGCGCUUAACACAUGCAAGUCGAACGAUGAAAUGGAGCUUGCUCCAUGGAUUAGUGGCGAACGGUUGAGUAACACGUGAAUAACCUGCCCUUAAUUUUGGAAUAACUCAGGGAAACCUCGGCUAAUACUGGUAAACUAAACCUUUGCCAUAACAUGGCUUUGGAAACUUAUUCGAUUAAGGAUUGAUUCGCGGCCUAUCAGCUUGUUGGUGAGGUAAUGGUUCACCAAGUCGACGACGGGUAGCCUGCCUGAGAGGGUGAACGGACACACUGGAACUGAGACAAGGCCCAGACUCCUACGGGAGGCAGAAGUGGGGAAUAUUGCGCAAUGGACGAAAGUCUGACGCAGCGACGCCUCGUGAGGGACGAAGGUCUUCGGAUUGUAAACCUCUUUCAGCAGGGAAGAAGCGAAAGUGACGGUACCUGCAGAAGAAGCACCGGCUAACUAUGUGCCAGCCGCCGCAGUAA
rnacentral:rRNA from 1 species